GGAGUAGGAAUGGUGCGUUAAGUACCGGCGGAUGGGAGGUUGCCGCCGGGCGAAGGGACGAGGGAGUCCCGCGGUGCCAUGAUCGCAUCCGCUGC
rnacentral:ncRNA from 1 species